ACUUGCUGCUAAUGUGAGACAGAAAAUGUGACAUCUGCACAGUAAACCUUCUGGAUAUUUCUGCAUUGUGUUGUGUGGGCUUCCUGUCAACAGGUUCCUGUCUCUGGCCUCGUCCCGUCUCUCCAGCAUUUGCUGAAACGUCUCCUGGCAACAGUGUGUUUCCUGGUCUCUGGAUUCUCUAUUCAUUUUCAUGCUGUCCAGAAAUUGGCAGAUGUUAACAAACAGAGCGGCGUCCUGCGAGCAAAAACCUCUUUGUGGUCUUUGGUUGUGUUACUUGAGCUCGGAACUUGUAGCUUAUUAAUCUGCCGUUGUUUGGGAGUUGUCAGCGAGAGGCGACGGGCGCGCAUGCCAAAAGACAUCCAGCAGCUGGAGCACCUACACUACUGACAGUUUACAAACCUUCAGCACUGAAAUUGCUGGGAGUGAGAGCUGGGCUUCAGCUGGCAGCUGAACAAUUUGUUUAGUGAACUGGAAUACCAGAGCUUGGCACCAUAUGUUCACCCAGAACAAUAAGCCUGUGCGACAGUUAUCUGCGUCUGUAUUUAGAAGUCGUCCAGUGAUCGGACCAAUUUCCUGAGAGCAGUUUAGACUGUGAUUUGUCCUUGCUUGUUUAAUCCUUCUCUUUCUAUUUAUCUCUUACUUUUAGUUGUUGUUUUUUUACAUCCACCUGAUGUUAAAUAGGGUCGCCUGACUUUGACUUGAUUAGAUCCCAGCCUGGAGAGGGAAUGGCCCUCUGAUAAACAAUUUUGCCUGAAAACGAACGUGUAGCAAUUCAAUUACCAUUCAAUCAGCGAACGCUUGAGGCCUUUAAUGAUUUUAGCACACAAUCAAAUCCUUGCUUUCUUAAAGAGGCCUCUGAGCUUUUUUGUGCAAUUGUAGAAGAAUAUGAAACAUCCCAAAGUCAUCAAUACAUCACUUCAUGUUGAAAGGACCGUCCAAAAGAGUGAAAAUUGGCCGUUUUUAAUCUCCUGAAUGGCAAUUGUUUCAUAAUUUGCUAUCAGCUACAAAGCACAAAAAGCUGUGUGUGAGUGAUAAAGGAAACAAAAGUGAAGACAAACAACACCAAAAAAAAACAUUUAUUCUUAAUAUCAGCCCUUCAUGCUCACAUAUGAAUCACAGAAUGUGGCUAUAAGCUUAAAAUAGCAUUGAUUUUUCAGUAUUAGAUCCAAAAGAAACAACGAUAAGCUCUAAAAAGUUGACUAAAUGUGACACAAUUUAAUCUCUUAUCGUCUGAAAUCAUAAGUGUGUAAUUCAAGUGUUUUUUGAUGAGUCUGUCAAGAAUAAAAGAACACCAGGCUCUGAAAUGGUACUGCAGGAAUUUCAAUGUCACCAAUCCAGCGCGAGAGAGAGUGAAGAAAAGACCGAAUUUACUCACCCAAAGGAAAAUUGUAUUGCUCAGAGGUGGUUUGUUCACAGCUCACAAGACUUGAGGGAGUAGCUCACCUCAAUAUGAGAAGCGUUUACCCUCAUGCUGCUCCAAAUCUGUAUGAUUUUCUUUUAUCUGCAGAGCACAGACGGUGACUUUUUGAACAAUACACUGGAAGCUGUUUUCCAAUAGUCCAGUGCUUUUAAAAUGGGCUUUAAAACCCGCACGAGCUACAAAAACUGCUAUUUGACACUUUCCACUGAUUUUUGGGUUUCAUAAUCAAACAUUCACAUGGUUUUCACUAUAUUUGAAUCGAAAGCUCCAGCAGUAAAAGAAAAUUAAAGCCUCGUUCAGACCAUAAUGAUGAAAAAGGUCCUCCAUUUAAAAUGUAAUACUCAUUUUUUUUUCUGUAGUGAAAUUGAUUUUUAACAAUAAUACAGACCUAUUGUGAGCUCUGA